rnacentral:rRNA from 1 species
GAUGAACGCUGGCGGCGUGCCUAAUACAUGCAAGUCGAGCGAACAGACGAGGAGCUUGCUCCUCUGACGUUAGCGGCGGACGGGUGAGUAACACGUGGAUAACCUACCUAUAAGACUGGGAUAACUUCGGGAAACCGGAGCUAAUACCGGAUAAUAUAUUGAACCGCAUGGUUCAAUAGUGAAAGACGGUUUUGCUGUCACUUAUAGAUGGAUCCGCGCCGCAUUAGCUAGUUGGUAAGGUAACAGCUUACCAAGGCAACGAUGCGUAGCCGACCUGAGAGGGUGAUCGGCCACACUGGAACUGAGACACGGUCCAGACUCCUACGGGAGGCAGCAGUAGGGAAUCUUCGGCAAUGGGCGAAAGCCUGACGGAGCAACGCCGCGUGAGUGAUGAAGGUCUUCGGAUCGUAAAACUCUGUUAUUAGGGAAGAACAAAUGUGUAAGUAACUAUGCACGUCUUGACGGUACCUAAUCAGAAAGCCACGGCUAACUACGUG